rnacentral:tRNA from 1 species
GUAAAUAUAGUUUAAGUAAAAUUCUAGAUUGUGAUUCUAGAGACAGAGGAUAAAAACCUCUUAUUCACC